rnacentral:rRNA from 1 species
GACCCCUUGUAGACCACAAGGUUGAUAGGUCUGAGGUGUAAGCGCAGCAAUGUGUUCAGCUGACAGAUACUAAUAGGUCGAGGUCUUGACCCAA